ACUUAGGGAUAAGGGGUGCCACCAUCAGGUGGCCGCAGAGAAUAGGCCCAAGCGACUGUUUACCAAAAACAUAGGUUUCUGCUAAGUCGCAAGACGAUGUAUAGGAGCUGACGCCUGCCCGGUGCUGGAAGGUUAAGGGGAUCUGUUAGAGCAAUCGAAGCAGUGAACUUAAGCCCCAGUAAACGGCGGCCGUAACUAUAACGGUCCUAAGGUAGCGAAAUUCCUUGUCGGGUAAGUUCCGACCCGCACGAAAGGCGUAACGAUUUGGGCACUGUCUCAACAACAGACUCGGUGAAAUUGUAAUUCCGGUGAAGAUGCCGGAUACCUGCGACAGGACGGAAAGACCCCAUGGAGCUUUACUGUAGCUUGACAUUGGGUCUUGGUACUACAUGUACAGGAUAGGUGGGAGGCUUUGAAACCAGGACGCCAGUUUUGGCGGAGCCAUCCUUGGGAUACCACCCUUGUAGUACUGGGACUCUAACCAUAGGCCAUGAAUCUGGUCUUGGGACACUGUCAGGUGGGCAGUUUGACUGGGGCGGUCGCCUCCCAAAAGGUAACGGAGGCGCUCAAAGGUUCUCUCAGUACGGUCGGAAAUCGUACGUAGAGUGUAAAGGCAAAAGAGAGCUUGAUUGCAAGACAUACAGGUCGAGCAAGGAUGAAAAUCGGACUUAGUGAUCCGGUGGUUCUGCGUGGAAGGGCCAUCGCUCAACGGAUAAAAGCUACCCUGGGGAUAACAGGCUUAUCUCCCCCAAGAGUCCACAUCGACGGGGAGGUUUGGCACCUCGAUGUCGGCUCAUCACAUCCUGGGGCUGUAGUAGGUCCCAAGGGUUGGGCUGUUCGCCCAUUAAAGUGGUACGCGAGCUGGGUUCAGAACGUCGUGAGACAGUUCGGUCCCUAUCCGUCGCAGGCGUAGGAAAUUUGAGAAGACCUGUCCUUAGUACGAGAGGACCGGGAUGGACG
rnacentral:rRNA from 1 species